AAAGGAAAGAAUUGCCAGACCCUUAUCAGCCCACCUGUCUCACUGUAACUGUUACAAUCUUCCUAAGGCCCGCCCCACCCCAACAGGCCUACUCCUCCCUGCCCCCUAUUAGGAAAGGUAUGUGGCCCACUCCCCUCCUCCCCUCAGUCAGCCUGGCCUGCUCCUUCCUGCCCCACUACUAGAAAAGGUUUGUAGCCCACUCCUUACCCCGCCCCUAUGGGGCAACAUAUGCCCCCAACCAACCAGCAAGUGUAUCGGAAGACUCCAUCCCUCCCCAGCCAAUCAGCAGGUGUAUGGCAAGACCACGCCUCCACUCCUUUGUCUCUGGGCUAUAGAAACAGACACGCCCUUGUGCCCUGGUUAUCUGGAUGCUGGUCCACUGUGUGAACAGUGUCUCUGUCCUCAAUAAACGUGUCUUUUCUACAUCUUGGUUUAAAUCCGGAAAAUACUUUUUCCACCCAUAUGCAGAGCCCACAACAGCCAGGACCAGACCGCACGCCCCUAACUCCCAGCCCAGGGCUUGGUACUCUGCGCCUCUGCCCCCCAGAGGGUUGGGAGCUCCAGGCAGCCCGAGGAAAGGCUUCCAGAGGCAGGGAUUGCCUGGCACUCAGACCCCGGGCAGUCCUUUGGCAGGUGACACAGAUGGGUGGUGCUAAGUGCUGUCCCAGGAAAGGACCUGCCUACUUUAUAAUCUGGGGUGACUGCUCUGAUUGGGCUCCACUUCUAGCCGCAGACCUGGGGAGGAGAGGGCGACCUGAUAAAGGCUAUCUCAUGGAACUGCCCUGUGGAACCGGAUGUAGGAAUCAGGCCCAGUUACAGGAAACAUAUGCUCUCUGAGACCUGGUCAAACAUCCACCAAGGACCAUUUUAUGCCAAGCCUUGUGUUACUUCUGGGUCCACAGAAGCAAAUAAGAUAUACUUCCUAUCUGUCCUCAGGCAGCUCCCAGCUUGGGCAGAGGAAGCAGUAAGUAAAUGGAUAAUUAAAACCUAGUGUGUAAGUGCUACGAGAGAGAGAAACGCACGAUGCUCUGGGAAUACAAAGGUUGGGGCAUCUAACCAGACCAGACUAGAGGGUCAAGGAAGACGUUUUGGAAGAGGUGACUUAAAAGUGAGUCUUUUUCUUCCAUUUUUGAAAAAAAAAAAAUCGUGCAGGUGAUAUAUGUGUUAGAAAUACAGAGAAGUGAAAGGAAACAACGGUUGAAAUCCUUCUGCCCAGAUGUAGCCCUUACUUAUACUUUGCUAUAAUGCCUUUUAAAUCUCAUUCUCUCUCUGAGACAUAUGUCUAUUUACACACACAUCAGACAGCCCUAACACACACACAAACAUGACACAAAAAUCCAGUGCAAUUCUGCUGUAAUAGCACUCUGUAAUUUGCUCUUCCUCAUUUAGUAUAUUUUAAAUCAGUAAAUAGAAACCUGUAAACACUCUUCAAUGACCUUCUGGGAAUUGUUCAACAUAUGAUGAUCAUAUUUUAUUCAGUCUUUUACAUUACACAUUUAUUUCCAAUAUUUAAUGACUAUAAACAAUGUUGCAAAGAAGAACUUUUAAGCCCAUCUUGGUGCAUUUUCCCAGUUAUUAUUUUGUGGUUAUCAGAGAAAACUGAUCAAUUUACCUUUCUUUUUUUUUUUUUGUCUUUUGUCUUUUUUGUUGUUAUUAUUGCUAUUUCUUGGGCCGCUCCCGCGGCAUAUGGAGGUUCCCAGGCUAGGGGUUGAAUCGGAGCUGUAGCCACUGGCCUACGCCAGAGCCACAGCAACGCGGGAUCCGAGCCGUGUCUGCAACCUACACCACAGCUCAUGGCAACGCCGGAUCGUUAACCCACUGAGCAAGGCCAGGGAUCGAACCCGCAACCUCAUGGUUCCUAGUCGGAUUCGUUAACCACUGCGCCAUGACGGGAACUCCCCAAUUUACCUUUCAUUCUGUAUCUCUAGAGCUAACAGUGGGUAUUUUUAUUCUUUUUAAAAAAUUUGAGGAGUUCCCGUCGUGGCGCAGUGGUUAACGAAUCCGACUAGGAACCAUGAGGUUGCGGGUUCGAUCCCUGGCCUUGCUCAGUGGGUUAACGAUCCGGCGUUGCCAUGAGCUGUGGUGUAGGUUGCAGACACGGCUCGGAUCCCGCGUUGCUGUGGCUCUGGCGUAGGCCGGUGGCUACAGCUCCGAUUCAACCCCUAGCCUGGGAACCUCCAUAUGCCGCAGAAGAGGCCCAAGAGAUAGCAACAACAACAACAAAAGACAAAAAGACUAAAAAAAAAAAAAAAAAAAAAAAAAUUGAUAGGUGAAAAAUGGCAUCCUAUCUAGUUGUGUUUGCAUUUUAGAUGACUAAUUUUUUCAUAAUUACUGGCCAUGUAUAUUUCUUUUUCUUUUUCUUUUUUUUUUUUUUUAGUCUUUUUGUCUUUUGUUGUUGUUGUUGCUAUCUCUUGGGCCUCUUCUGCGGCAUAUGGAGGUUCCCAGGCUAGGGGUUGAAUCGGAGCUGUAGCCACCGGCCUACGCCAGAGCCACAGCAACGCGGGAUCCGAGCCACGUCUGCAACCUACACCACAGCUCACGGCAACACCAGAUCGUUAACCCACUGAGCAAGGCCAGGGAUCGAACCCGCCACCUCAUGGUUCCUAGUCGGAUUCGUUAACCACUGCGCCACGACGGGAACUCCUCUUUUUCUUUUUUUAUAUAAUGAUUUUUAUUUUUUCAUUAUAGCUGCUUUAUAGUGUUCUGUCAAUUUUCUACUGUACAGCAUGGUGACCCAGUUAUACAUACAUACAUAUAGAUUCUUACUUCUUCUAUUUAUUUAUUUAUUUAUUUAUUUAUUUAUUUAUUUAUUUUGUUUUUUUGCUAUUUCUUUGGGCUGCUCCCACGGCAUAUGGAGCUUCCCA
rnacentral:lncRNA from 1 species